rnacentral:rRNA from 1 species
UACGUAGGGGGCUAGCGUUGUCCGGAAUCAUUGGGCGUAAAGCGCGCGUAGGCGGCCCGGUAAGUCCGCUGUAAAAGUCAAAGGCUCAACCUUUGAAUGUCAGUGGAUACUGCCGGGCUAGAGUCCGGAAGAGGCGAGUGGAACUCCUGGUGUAGCGGUGGAAUGCGCAGAUAUCAGGAAGAACACCGACGGCGAAGGCAGCUCGCUGGGACGGUACUGACGCUGAGGCGCGAAAGCGUGGGGGAGCGAACAGG